rnacentral:rRNA from 1 species
CGACGAACUUCUUUAUCACCGAGUGCUUGCACUCACCGAUAAAGAGUUGAGUGGCGAACGGGUGAGUAACACGUGGGCAACCUGCCCAAAAGAGGGGGAUAACACUUGGAAACAGGUGCUAAUACCGCAUAACCAUAGUUACCGCAUGGUAACUAUGUAAAAGGUGGCUAUGCUACCGCUUUUGGAUGGGCCCGCGACGCAUUAGCUAGUUGGUGGGGUAAAGGCUUACCAAGGCAAUGAUGCGUAGCCGAACUGAGAGGUUGAUCGGCCACAUUGGGACCGAGACACGGCCCAAACUCCUACGGGAGGCAGCAGUAGGGAAUCUUCCACAAUGGGCGAAAGCCUGAUGGAGCAACGCCGCGUGGGUGAAGAAGGUCUUCGGAUCGUAAAACCCUGUUGUUAGAGAAGAAAGUGCGUGAGAGUAACUGUUCACGUUUCGACGGUAUCUAACCAGAAAGCCACGGCUAACUACGUGCCAGCAGCCGCGGUAAUACGUAGGUGGCAAGCGUUAUCCGGAUUUAUUGGGCGUAAAGAGAUCGCAGGCGGUCUUUUAAGUCUGAUGUGAAAGCCUUCGGCUUAACCGGAGUAGUGCAUUGGAAACUGGGAGACUUGAGUGCAGAAGAGGAGAGUGGAACUCCAUGUGUAGCGGUGAAAUGCGUAGAUAUAUGGAAGAACACCAGUGGCGAAAGCGGCUCUCUGGUCUGUAACUGACGCUG